GGUUGUCCCUUACCUAAACUACCUGUCUUUCUUACCUUCUUUCUUUCUUUCUUUCUUUCUUUUUUAAGAACACUACUCGCACAAGAAAUCCUAAGAAUUAAUUCACUACUUAAGGUUAAUUCAUAAAUAAAGAAACUGCAGUUACAGGUUUGUUUGUGCAUAGUAUUGGUAAUCAGCAGUUUUUUUCCUUAUCUCCUCAUCUAGAAGUGUGUUUCUGUGCUACUCCUCCAUCUAUAACACAAGUUAGUAUCAUCCUUAAAGCGUCUGAAAUUAAGCUGCAUUGCUAAAUCAAUAACGUGAUUUGUGCUAAGAAAUACUCCCCUAUCCUCUUCCUUUUUCCAGUGGCACUGAAUGACAGAUUUUAGAUCAAUUUAACGUUUUAUUACUAUUACGUUUCAUUUAAUUAAUUUUGCUUUUUCUCUCUUAUUUUUAUCUAUUUAUUUAUUUAUGUUAUUUACUUAUUUAUCAUGCCAUCCUGUGAUGAUAAUCUUAAAGACUUUUUAGCCAAUUGUCGUCAAAAAGGCCAAUUAAAAAUAUUAUGUUAAAGAUUUCACAAGAUAAAAAUGUGAACAUAAUUUUUAUCGAAUGAGGGGUACCAUUAUUCAAUAUUUUUGUAACAUUAUUUUCUACGUUAGAACUUACAGCUGAUAGAAAAAUAUAGGAUCAGCUAGGUUUGGCUAGAUCUGUUGGGAAACUCAACGGAGCUGAAACAACACUGUUGUCUCGGAUGAGAUGUUCCAUGAAUCAUUUAGUCAGCUGAAUGCCAAAUUAUUCAUUUAAUGUUUAUUUUUAUGCAAUGAAUGGAAUGGGAUGGAACGUUACUAUAAACUGUCCGGAAAUUUGCGCAUGUUUGCUCGAAGGAGAGAACUGUUGAAGCCUAAAGCGUUCUCCUAGACUUAUAAAUAGACACCGUUUCCUUAACCAAUGAAAAUAAGUGAUAACGCUGAUGUAUUCCGUUUUGAAAAGAAAAUAAGGCUUUACUGCAUGUCCGCUGCAGCUGAGAAUCCUAAGACAAUAAAGAUUAUAUUGACGUCCAAUGGUGAGUUGGGCUGAAAUCCAGGUUACUAAUCCUGUUAUUUAUUUAUUUAUUGUUAUUAUUAUUAUCUUUUUUUUUUAGGCUAACUUUCUCAGUUAACUAUGUUCUACAGUAGUUUAGUAAAUUUUCCACAGUUCUGACAUUUCAUCAAUUCAACUGGUUGUUGCCAAAAAGCCUUGUUCAUUACCUGACUGCAGCAAGCACUCUUUUACUGGGUGUAACCAUAGGAAACAGUCUCUUUUGAGCCUCUCUUUGUAAGUCCAGGAUGACCACCGUCAUUGAUUAAAGUUCACAUGUUAGCACACAUGCUCCCCCUUUUGUACUUUGUUUCAUCAGCAGCAGGGCAAAUAAGUUUCUGCCUCUUUGUCCAUCUUGUAGUGCUCCCCGUCUUGAUGUUAUAAGUCACAGCUUUUGGUGAGGGCUUCCAGGUUCUCUUUGUAUAGAAGUCAGACCCAAACAUUCUUUGCAGCUGGUUGUGACAGGCCCACCCAGUAAAGUUCAUGCCCGCCACAAUGCACAGCAAACGUUUUCCUUAAAUAUGUUGAUUGGGUUGAAAUGACAGAACUUUCUCUUUUUACAAAUCAAAAUCAACGAUGGUUUCUAAUAAUUAGUCAACUUUAUUGACCCAAAGGUAAAUCUAGACUACUUCCUAUGCACAAUUUGUUCUGAAUCAUCAAAUCAGUUCUACACAGGUUUUAAACAUUAGGCACAAUCUAUCCCAAAUGCAAGAUCCCUCCUUUCAUUUUUUAUUUAUCUAUUUUUAUUUUAGGAAAAUAACUACCAGUUUUUAACUCAAAACAGCCUGGUACAGUUUCUAGCCAGGUUACAGGAAAUAAUACUUAGUUUAUCUGUUUUUUCAUUAUUCAGCGUCCCAAAAUCCAGCCAUUAACAUUAAUGGUUCUUAAUGUUGAGGCAAGACAAUUAUUGGAUUUUGUUUUAUAGCAAGAUUUAACAAAUAUUUUAUUUCUUGACUGAUUAUUUGUUAAUUUUAUGGUUUUCAUAAAGAUGAUCCUGAGAAGUUCAGAGCUGCUUUUCGCAGCACCCUGUGCUAUUUUUAGACUAUGGGAUUCUUGUGUGUAAAAGUGGGUGGAGUCAGGUCCCCAGGCUGAAACUCCAGUCAUUCUCACUAGAUCUGUCCGAGAGGAAGGAUCUCCUGAAUACCCUAACCAGAAGCCUUAAGUCUCUUGAACUAAAUAACCGUCUAGCAAAAACAUGGACCGCACCCUGUUUCUCAAGCAGCUGCUCCCUCUAUUAAAAACUGAGUCAUUCAGGAGAAGAUCCAGCGAAAGCAGCAUUUACUUCUCAUGCAAGAAGACACGCAUUCACUCAUUCACAAGGCACAGAGACAUUCUUUGUUUGUCACAGUCUUUUUUUUUUUUAAAGUAAGUCAGUCCGUCACUUAUUUAUUCUCUCUCUCUCUAUAUAUAUAUAAUAUUUUAAGCACAGAAUUUAUUUAACACUGCACUGGUUAUUUUCAGAAUUUAAUGCUUACUAUGCUUUUAAGCAGGCCUUAUGUAACAUUAGAGCAAAUCCAAUUGCAAUUUUUUGUGAGCGCUCUGAGGAAUAGUUUAUAUAUUUAUUUUCUGCAGAUCUGUUUUGAUUUUACUGUUUAGCAGCUAUCUGACUUUAUGUAUAUGUAUAUCCAUAUAUUUCUGAAAUAAAGCUGUCAUAUACAACCUUA